ACAUCUCUUGAUGAACCUGAAGGAGAAGGAGCUCCACAGGGAUGUUUGAAACCAAUGAUAUUCAGAUAUUUCUGCUGGACUGAGUGUCCCAGAAAGAAACCAGACUGAAGGGGAAAAGUAGAGCAGUUCCAGGAGAAAAUCCUUAUGAAUAAAGAAGUUUAUCCAAGGGCACAGCAGAGCAGCAAAGCAUGUCGGCCAGGCAGCAGGGUUGGGUGGCUCCCUGGGAGGCUGGGUAGAGCUUGUCUGGCUUCCCCCGCCUCAGUGCAGUAUGCUCCAGAAAGGAGAGGGCUGGGGUGUAAAGGAACCGUACCAUGUGCACUCCAGUGCCAACAGAGGGGUGAUCCAGGGGAGCUGGUGGCAGCCGGGGAGUGGCCUCUGUGAGGGGAAUGGAGCAGGAGAAUGGAGGAAGGGGGUCUCUUAGGCACAUGACGAAGUGGCCAUGCCUCCCUCCAGGUGCUUCUGGGAGCAAAGUGAUCUAGUAGAAGGGGGCAUUCAGAUCCCAAAGGAAAACGCACCUAGAAAUCCCGAGGAAUGCUUUGGAAGGGGGAUCAUGAGGGGGUAAAAUAGAAUUUUUGCUGGGAAAAGAAGCAGGAGGAGGGAGAAUUACAAGGUCACCGUAUAUGUGAAUUGUGUGUAUUUUCUUACAAAUGAAACUUGCUGGAAACUAAAAGCUUUGUAUAACGCGUGCUGCUAUGAGCCUGGAAUUUUUCCAUGCUAUGAAAUAGAUGGUAAGCCUUAGCCAGAGCUGGGAGGGAAACAUCCCAGUUAGGUUUCAAUCCUCUUCCUCGUGUCCCAUGGAGUAGAUUGUCACUGGGAGUCCUCUUCUUGCGGUGGUGUCCUUAUUUCUGAGACCUGGACUUUGCCUAGGCGGGUGCUGGAGGAACAGUCUCGGAGUGCAAUGUUGUCAUUGUUGGAUUCAUGGGAAGCUCUGCCUCUCUCCACUUGGGCUGGUGAAGUUUGCAGUGGCCACUAAAGACCUCUCAGGCCAGCCCAAGCCUGCUGUGCCUGUUUCUGUGUUCUCUUUGGCAAUUGCAUUCUCUCUUUUGGACCCAGCUUCUUCCUACAUGCUGUGGUCAUCAGAGAGGUGUUUUUUAAACUGCAAUAUUUUCCUGGUUGGAUUCAUGGGAAGCUCUGCCUCUCUCCACUUGGGCUGGUGAAGUUUGCAGUGGCCACUAAUGACCUCUCAGGCCAGCCCAAGCCUGCUGCACCUGUUUCUGUGUUCUCUUUGGCAAUUGCAUUCUCUCUUUCGGACCCAGCUUCUUCCUACAUGCUGUGGUCAUCAGAGAGGUGUUUUUUAAACUAAUCUCAACAGCUAAAUACAAACUCAGAAAGACUCUGUUGGACAAAAAAAAAAAAAAGGGCAGGAAGUGGGGGAUGAGGUUUACAUUUUAACAUAAAAAGCUCCUGCUUGAAAUUAGAGGCGAACUUUCCCCUUUUAGUCUAAAAUAUGUAUACCUAUCCAUUCCUCAUACAACGAGUGACAAUGAGCGUCUCUCCAGCCUCCCAUCCCAUACAUACUCUUGCCGUAGUCACCAAUGACAAAUAUAUUUGGUCAAUUUUGUGCCUGUGAUUAAAGCAAACCUCUAUAGAGCAGGCCCUCAGGCCAACCCCGAGACUCCCCUGACCACCUCUAGUCAUUUUGUUUCCUAACCUGCCCCUCCCAGUGUCCUGAGGCCCAACCUGUUGCCAACCAUGACCUGGCCGAGUUUCUUGCUGGCCCCCAUUUUGUCCUUUUCAGAAGGCCAGCAGAACCCAGCUAACAGAGCUAGUGCUUACAGGGAGAAGGGCCUCAAAGGUGGGGUAGACAGGAUGUUGAACUCCAAAGUCGGUUAAAGUUAAGAGGGAAAAGUACCACUGCAAUCUACAGAGGCAGGUUCAGAAUUUGGAAAUUCAGGUUUCCUGGAGAAUCCCUCGGGCGGAAGUUCACACCUCUGGCAAAGGCCUCAUGACACUAUGGAAAGCUCACAGGUUUCGGUUCUUAUUCUGCGGUGAUCUGUCAGUGUUCAAAGUCAGUUGACCAACAUCAGCUGUGUUGUGCAUGACUAACUCUUAGGAAGGAGGUAACUGAAGCCAGUUUUGCAGACAUGAACCAACGGCCAGUAGAAGUGUUCUGGACAUUGGUGCAUGAGUCCGUCCCACUGAGGUGGACUGAAACGCCGUGAAAGGAAAAAAACCAAGUGGCCUAAAGAUACACCUUUAGUGAACGCUGGACAGCAUUGCAGCAAGAGCCUAUGACAGAGUCUUUUUCCAUCCUGAAGUCAGGAUCCACUGGAUAAAGUUUAUCAAGAGGACUUCGUCUUCUUAGUAUGUGAUUUCCAGAAAUGUGGACAUUGAAGGAGAGCACAUAUCCUCUUAACAUUUUCAACUGUGAUGCUCUUCCAAUUGCACCCACAGCUCCCUGUCCCUUGCCACUCCAGUCUAUUCUCCACAAUGCAGAUCAAAGUAUCUCUGCAAAAUGCAAAUCUGAUUAUGUCUCUUCCCUAUUGAAAAUGGCUUAAAAGUCCCCCAUUGCUCUUAGGAUGAAGUCCAAAUUCCUUAUUUUGGCUUACAAGCCAAAAUCCAGCCCUGGAUCCAGUCCUGGCUUACCUCUCUAAUUGUUUUUUAACUUUACCACC